rnacentral:lncRNA from 1 species
AUGUCGAACUCCACAAGUAUAGCAACUAGAUUGUAUAGAUCCCACAAUCUCAUGAUCAAUGUGACAUAAAUAAUGUAAAGCAUUAAAUAAUAGACAAUGAGCAUAUUUAACACACAAGAAUCAUCACCCUUAAUGUAGAUGUCCCCAAGGCCGCUCCUGACCGUGAGCUCGGCUAGUAUACUAGUUUUUAACCCUCUGCAGAGGUUGUACAUCUUUACCCAUGAGUCAUGAUUUACCCUUUCGCCCGAGGCCCGUCGACCUCUUAACCCACUACC